AGAGUUUGAUCCUGGCUCAGGAUGAACGCUGGCGGCGUGCCUAACACAUGCAAGUCGAGCGGCAGCGAGUUUUACACUGAAUUCUGGAAGCUUCUGGGUAAUAUAGAAGAUCUAUUCAAGAAUUUUGUGUAAAAUGUCGGCGAGCGGCGGACGGCUGAGUAACGCGUAGGAAUUUGCCCCAAAGUGAGGAAUAACUGCCCGAAAGGGUAGCUAAUGCCGCAUAUGGUCUUCGGAUUAAAGCCUUCGGGCGCUUUGGGAGAAGCCUGCGUUGGAUUAGGUAGUUGGUAGGGUAAUGGCCUACCAAGCCGACGAUCCAUAGCUGGUCUGAGAGGAUGAUCAGCCAGACUGGAACUGAGACACGGUCCAGACUCCUACGGGAGGCAGCAGUGAGGAAUCUUCCACAAUGGGCGAAAGCCUGAUGGAGCAACGCCGCGUGCAGGAUGAAGGCCUUCGGGUUGUAAACUGCUUUUAUAAGUGAUGAUUAUGACAGUAACUUAUGAAUAAGGAUCGGCUAACUACGUGCCAGCAGCCGCGGUCAUACGUAGGAUCCGAGCGUUAUCCGGAGUGACUGGGCGUAAAGAGUUGCGUAGGUGGUUCGAUAAGCGAAUAGUGAAAUCUGGUGGCUCAACCAUUCAGACUAUUAUUCGAACUGUUGAACUCGAGAGCAGAAGAGGUAGCUGGAAUUUCUAGUGUAGGAGUGAAAUCCGUAGAUAUUAGAAGGAACACCGAUGGCGUAGGCAGGUUACUGGGCCAUUUCUGACGCUAAGGCACGAAAGCGUGGGGAGCGAACCGGAUUAGAUACCCGGGUAGUCCACGCCGUAAACGAUGGAUACUAGCUGUUUGGGGUAUCGACCCCCUGAGUAGCGAAGCUAACGCGUUAAGUAUCCCGCCUGUGGAGUACGAUCGCAAGAUUAAAACAUAAAGGAAUUGACGGGGACCCGCACAAGCGGUGGAUCAUGUUCUUUAAUUCGAUGAUAACCGAUAAACCUUACCAGGUCUUGACAUCCUUGGAAUCUUUCAGAAAUGAGAGAGUGCUUUUUAAGAGCCAAGUGACAGGUGAUGCAUGGCCGUCGUCAGCUCGUGUCGUGAGAUGUUUGGUUAAGUCCAUCAACGAGCGCAACCCUUGUCAGUAGUUGUAUUUUUCUACUGAGACUGCCCCGGUAAC
rnacentral:rRNA from 1 species